CACCAAGCUGCCCACCAGAGGCCAAGCUGUACUUGGUGUUUGCCAACAUGCUGUAAUUUCCAGCCUGGUUGCUGUAGCCACAGAGGAAUUUUCAAGGACAAGAACCAGUGCUGGUAAAACUGUGGUCUCGUGUGGUUUUCCAUACCGGCUCUCGGCAAGGAUUUUCAAGAAAGGAAUAUCAUCUCCAAAUCAUGAUGUGCCAAUAAGCUCCAGUUAGCUGUGGCCUUUUCCCCAGGCGGUAGUCC